rnacentral:rRNA from 1 species
GAUGAACGCUAGCUACAGGCUUAACACAUGCAAGUCGAGGGGCAGCAUGAACAUAGCUUGCUAUGUUUGAUGGCGACCGGCGCACGGGUGCGUAACACGUAUCCAAUCUGCCCGUCACUCGGGGAUAGCCUUCUGAAAGGAAGAUUAAUACCCGAUGGGAUGCAUUUCCGGCAUCGGAGAUGCAUUAAAGAUUUUAUCGGUGACGGAUGAGGAUGCGUACGAUUAGCUAGUUGGCGGGGUAACGGCCCACCAAGGCGACGAUGCGUAGGGGUUCUGAGAGGAAGGUCCCCCACACUGGUACUGAGACACGGACCAGACUCCUACGGGAGCAGCAGUGAGGAAUAUUGGUCAAUGGGCGCAAGCCUGAACCAGCCAAGUAGCGUGAAGGAUGACUGCCUAUGGGUUGUAAACUUCUUUUAUACGGGAACAAACCUUGGUACGUGUACCAAAUUGCGUGUACCGUAUGAAUAAGCAUCGGCUAACU